rnacentral:rRNA from 1 species
GCCAGAGCCAUAUCACCCUAUAGCUCUUGCCUGGUGUCCCACUGAAGCUAAGCAGGGUUGAACCGGGGCAGUACCUAGAUGGGAGACCUCCUGGGGAAAAUAAGGCUGCUGCUGGAA